UUCCAAGCGAACUGGCCAAUGAGAUCCCCGUGUGAGUAGAGCUCGGCGCCCCCCGCUCCCUCUCACUCCCACUCCUCCAUCCUUCCUGGUGGGGAGCAGAGUCCGGAGCCCCCGGGGAACUUUCCAUCCCUCGUGGUGGAGGAUGGGGGUCCGGCGCUAUUUGGCUGCAAGAGGCUGUUUCCUGCCUCAGAAGUGCAGUCGCCCCUCCCAGGGCACAGGCCGAGGGUCGCCCCACAGCCAACCCCCACCACUGAGGCUGUACACACCUGUGCGCAUAUGCAUGCAUGUCUGUGUCCGUGUGCACGUCCGCGUGUGUGAACAUGCAGCUGUGUCUGUAUGUGCGUGUCUAUGUAUAUGGAGUGGAUGUGCAAGUGUGUGUGAAUAUCCAGCUGUGUGUGUGCAUGGGUCCAUGUAUAUGUGUGUGUGUAUAUGUGGGGGGGACAUGUAGAUAUGCGUGUGUGACUGUGGCCGUGUGUGUGCAUGGCUCCAUGUAUGUGUGUGUAUAUGAGGGAGACACGGUGUGUGUCCGUGUGUGUGUGUGUGUGCACAUGGGUCCAUGUAUGUGUGUGUAUACGAGGGAGACACGCAGGUGUGUGUCCGAGUGUGUGUCCAUGGGUCCAUAUAUGUGUGUGUAUAUGAGGGAGACACACAGGUGUGGGUCCAAGUGUAUGUCCAUGUAUGCGUGUGCAUAUGUGGGGGAGACAGGUGUGUGUCCGAGUGUGUGCAUGGGUCCGUGUAUAUGCGUGUGUAUAUGGGGGGAUAUGUAGAUGUGUGUGUGUAUGAACAGGUGUAAGUGGGGAGCAUUCAGGUGUGUCCGUGUGUGUUCAUGUACGUGUGUGUGUGUGAACAUGGAGGUGUGUGUGUGUCCAUGUGUAGGUUUGGGUGCAUGCACACAUGCAUGUGUGUACUGGGGCAUCCAAGCCCCUGGUCUCCACUCCAUACCACCCUACGCCUACCUCCUCGAUCUCUGCGCCCAGCCUUGGCCGUGCUCCCCUGCUGUCUGCACAUGUGUGUCUGCACGUGGGUGUCUGCAUGUGGGUGUCUGUGCCCUCAAGUGUCUUGUGUCUGCACGUGGGUGUCUGCACCCUCACGUGUCUGCGCCCUCACGUGUCUCGUUUCCGCACGGUGUCUGCACAAGCAUGUGUAGGUGUCCCUGCUGGGCUCUUUGGUGGGCGGCCAAUGAUCCUCGAGGUCACGCAUGUCUUCUGUGGGUGCCUGCUCCUUGCACCCCACAGUGUUGAGAUGGGUUUGCAUUGGCCCUGCCUGUCCCCUGCUCACCCACCUCCCUCUCUUCCUGCUUCUAAGCCCCGAAACUCUGGAUUCCGGGGCCCUUCACAGGUGAGCACGUGGCAGCAGUGCCUGCAGACCCCUGGCUGGCCCAUCUGUCCUCCCGCCCCUCUCUCUGAUCUCUCUCUGCCAGGCUGCCCCUGUCUCCAUCCCUCUUCUCCCUCCCACUGUCGGUGUCUGCCCACCAGCCACCCCUGGGUCCCGUCACAGCCCUUGUGGCCUCUGCAGCUGGGGCCCUUGUCCUCCCGCCUCCCCCACCCUGUCCUGUUGCCACCUUCCUAGAGGCCCUGACCUGCCCUCUGCCCUCCAGCGAGAAGGCACUGCAGAGCAACCACUUUGAACUGAGCCUGCGCACUGAGGCCACGCAGGGGCUGGUGCUCUGGAGUGGCAAGGCCACGGAGCGGGCAGACUACGUGGCACUGGCCAUUGUGGACGGGCACCUGCAGCUGAGCUACAACCUGGGCUCCCAGCCCGUGGUGCUGCGUUCCACCGUGCCCGUCAACACCAACCGCUGGUUGCGGGUCGUGGCACAUAGGGAGCAGAGGGAAGGUUCCCUGCAGGUGGGCAAUGAGGCCCCUGUGACCGGCUCCUCCCCGCUGGGCGCCACGCAGCUGGACACUGAUGGAGCCCUGUGGCUUGGGGGCCUGCCGGAGCUGCCCGUGGGCCCAGCACUGCCCAAGGCCUACGGCACAGGCUUUGUGGGCUGCUUGCGGGACGUGGUGGUGGGCCAGCACCCGCUGCACCUGCUGGAGGACGCCGUCACCAAGCCAGAGCUGCGGCCCUGCCCCACCCCAUGAGCUGGCACCAGAGCCCCGCGCCCGCUGUAAUUAUUUUCUAUUUUUGUAAACUUGUCGCUUUUUGAUAUGAUUUUCUUGCCUGAGUGUUGGCCGGAGGGACUGCUGGCCCGGCCUCCCUUCCGUCCAGGCAGCCGUGCUGCGGACAGACCUAGUGCCGAGGGAUGGACAGGCGAGGUGGCAGCGUGGAGGGCUCAGCGUGGACGGCAGCCUCAGGACACACACCCCUGCCUCAAGGUGCUGAGCCCCCGCCUUGCACUGCGCCUGCCCCACGGUGUCCCCGCCGGGAAGCAGCCCCGGCUCCUGAAUCACCCUCGCUCCGUCAGGCAGGGCUCGUGUCCCAGAGAGGAAGGGGCUGCUGAGGUCUGAUGGGGCCCUUCCUCCGGGCGACCCCACAGGGCCUUUCCAAGCCCCCAUUUGAGCUGCUCCUUCCUGUGUGUGCUCUGGGCCCUGCCUUGGCCUCCUGCGCCAAUACUGUGACUUCGAAACAAUGUUACUGCUGGGCACAGCUCUGCGUUGCUCCCGUGCUGCCUCCGCCAGCCCCAGGCUGCUGAGGAGCAGAGGCCAGACCAGGGCCGAUCUGGGUGUCCUGACCCUCAGCUGGCCCUGCCCAGCCACCCUGGACAUGACCGUAUCCCUCUGCCACACCCCAGGCCCUGCGAGGGGCUAUCGAGAGGAGCUCACUGUGGGAUGGGGUUGACCUCUGCCGCCUGCCUGGGUAUCUGGGCCUGGCCACGGCUGUGUUCUUCAUGUGUUGAUUUUAUUUGACCCCUGGAGUGGUGGGUCUCAUCUUUCCCGUCUCGCCUGAGAGCGGCUGAGGGCUGCCUCACUGCAAAUCCUCCCCACAGCGUCAGUGAAAGUUGUCCUUGUCUCAGAAUGACCAGGGGCCAGCCAGUGUCUGACCAAGGUCAAGGGGCAGGUGCAGGGGUGGCAGGGAUGGCUCCGAAGCCAGAAAUGCCUUAAACUGCAACGUCCCGUCCCUUCCCCACCCCCAUCCCAUCCCCACCCCCAGCCCCAGCCCAGUCCUCCUAGGAGCAGAACCCGAUGAAGCGGGCGGCGGUGGGGCUGGGUGCCGUGUUACUAACUCUAGUACGUUUCUGUGUCAAUCGCUGUGAAAUAAAGUCUGAAAACUUU
rnacentral:sRNA from 1 species